rnacentral:rRNA from 1 species
UCAGGAUGAACGCUGGCGGCGUGCCUAAUACAUAGCAAGUCGUACGAGGGAAGUCCAGCUUGCUGGACGGAACGAGUGGCGAACGGGUGAGUAAUACGUAAGCAACCUGCCUGCAAGGACUGGGAUAACACCUGGAAACGGGCGCUAAUACCGGAUAGGUAACAAAGGGGCAUCCCUAUGUUAUUAAAGGUUAGAAACACAAGCAGAUGGGCUUACGGUGCAUUAGCUAGUUGGUGAGGUAACGGCCCACCAAGGCGAUGAUGCAUAGCCGGCCUGAGAGGGUGAACGGCCACAUUGGGACUGAGACACGGCCCAGACUCCUACGGGAGGCAGCAGUAGGGAAUUUUCGGCAAUGGACGAAAGUCUGACCGAGCAACGCCGCGUGAGUGAAGAAGGUUUUCGGAUUGUAAAGCUCUGUUGUAAGGGAAGAACAGCACGGAAAGAAUCCGUGAAUGACGGUACCUUGCCAGAAAGCCACGGCUAACUACGUGCCAGCAGCGGC